GACGAACGCUGGCGGCGUGCUUAACACAUGCAAGUCGAACGGAAAGGCCCUGCUUUUGUGGGGUGCUCGAGUGGCGAACGGGUGAGUAACACGUGAGUAACCUGCCCUUGACUUUGGGAUAACUUCAGGAAACUGGGGCUAAUACCGGAUAGGAGCUCCUGCUGCAUGGUGGGGGUUGGAAAGUUUCGGCGGUUGGGGAUGGACUCGCGGCUUAUCAGCUUGUUGGUGGGGUAGUGGCUUACCAAGGCUUUGACGGGUAGCCGGCCUGAGAGGGUGACCGGCCACAUUGGGACGGAGAUACGGCCAAGACUCCUACGGGAGGAAGCAGUGGGGAAUAUUGCACAAUGGGCGGAAGCCUGAUGCAGCAACGCCGCGUGCGGGAUGACGGCCUUCGGGGUGUAAACCGCUUUCGCCUGUGACGAAGCGUGAGUGACGGUAAGGGGUAAAGAAGCACCGGCUAACUACG
rnacentral:rRNA from 1 species